rnacentral:rRNA from 1 species
AAGAAAAUGACGGUACCCGGAGAAGAAGCCCCGGCUAACUUCGUGCCAGCAGCCGCGGUAAUACGAAGGGGGCUAGCGUUGCUCGGAAUUACUGGGCGUAAAGGGAGCGUANGCGGACUGUUUAGUCAGAGGUGAAAGCCCAGGGCUCAACCUUGGAAUUGCCUUUGAUACUGGCAGUCUUGAGUACGGAAGAGGUAUGUGGAACUCCGAGUGUAGAGGUGAAAUUCGUAGAUAUUCGGAAGAACACCAGUGGCGAAGGCGACAUACUGGUCCGUUACUGACGCUGAGGCUCGAAAGCGUGGGGAGCAAACAGGAUUAGAUACCCUGGUAGUCCACGCCGUAAACGAUGAGUGCUAGUUGUCGGCAUGCAUGCAUGUCGGUGACGCAGCUAACGCAUUAAGCACUCCGCCUGGG